UACGUAGGGGGCAAGCGUUGUCCGGAAUCAUUGGGCGUAAAGCGCGCGUAGGCGGACCUGCAAGUCGGGGGUGAAAGCCCGAGGCUCAACCUCGGAACUGCCUUCGAUACUGCGGGUCUCGAGUCCCGGAGAGGAAGAUGGAAUUCCCGGUGUAGCGGUGAAAUGUGUAGAGAUCGGGAGGAACACCGGUGGCGAAGGCGGUCUUCUGGACGGUGACUGACGCUGAGGCGCGAAAGCGUGGGGAGCAAACGGG
rnacentral:rRNA from 1 species